CAGGAUGAACGCUAGCUACAGGCUUAACACAUGCAAGUCGAGGGGCAUCAUGACGAUAGCUUGCUAUGUGAUGGCGACCGGCGCACGGGUGAGUAACGCGUAUCCAACCUUCCCCUUAGUAGGGCAUAGCCCGGCGAAAGUCGGAUUAAUACCCUAUGUUAUUCGUAGAGGACAUCUGAAAUGAAUCAAAGAUUAAUCGCUAAGGGAUGGGGAUGCGUCCGAUUAGGUAGUCGGCGGGGUAACGGCCCACCGAGCCUUCGAUCGGUAGGGGUUCUGAGAGGAAGGUCCCCCACACUGGUACUGAGACACGGACCAGACUCCUACGGGAGGCAGCAGUGAGGAAUAUUGGUCAAUGGACGGGAGUCUGAACCAGCCAAGUAAGCGUGCAGGACGACGGCCCUAUGGGUUGUAAACUGCUUUUAUACGGGGAUAAAGUCGCCCACGUGUGGGUGUUUGUAGGUACCGUAUGAAUAAGGACCGGCUAAUUCCGUGCCAGCAGCCGC
rnacentral:rRNA from 1 species